rnacentral:rRNA from 1 species
GACGAACGCUGGCGGCGUGCUUAACACAUGCAAGUCGAACGGAAAGGCCCUGCUUGCAGGGUACUCGAGUGGCGAACGGGUGAGUAACACGUGGGUGAUCUGCCCUGCACUUCGGGAUAAGCCUGGGAAACUGGGUCUAAUACCGGAUAGGAGCCAUUUUUAGUGUGAUGGUUGGAAAGUUUUUUCGGUGUAGGAUGAGCUCGCGGCCUAUCAGCUUGUUGGUGGGGUAAUGGCCUACCAAGGCGGCGACGGGUAGCCGGCCUGAGAGGGUGGACGGCCACAGUGGGACUGAGAUACGGCCCAGACUCCUACGGGAGGCAGCAGUGGGGAAUAUUGCUCAAUGGGCGCAAGCCUGAUGCAGCGACGCCGCGGGGGGGAUGACGGCCUUCGGGUUGUAAACUCCUUUCGCUAGGGACGAAGCUUUUUGUGACGGUACCUAGAUAAGAAGCACCGGCUAACUACGUG